rnacentral:piRNA from 1 species
UGUUAAUCAAUUGUCCAUGCUUUCAAAAGG